CACCACUUCCAUUUUCGUUCAUCAGAUUUCUUUUUUCUGCACAUCCCAUCCUCCUGGCUAUCUUCUUUGAUGUGAACAUCGCUGAAGUGGCACGUCUUCGUUCCUUUCUCCAUGCCCAUGAGCUGGCACCAUCACGUGAAGGCUUUGCCGAUUUCCGGUGUGCAUCGCCCGAAGGUAUCGCCACAGGAGGGUAGGCGAAAGGGUGGUGAUAACGCUAGACAUCAACUGCAAGGGAGGGAGAGAGAGGUAAUUGGUGGGUUAGUGUCAUGGAUGUAAUUAGAAGCAGUUCUUACAGCAUCCGGACCCGCCACCACACACCAGAUGGAAGUCGGACGUUGAUGAAUCGAAGGUUCGAUUGAACGAAUUCAUUGAAAGCACUUACACCGCAUUGAUGAAAUUAAGUAAUGCAUGUCAAGGAAAAGGUUUGUUACUUUCUCGAAUUCUAAGUAUACAAAGGCAAAGUAUUGCAACCAUCAAGAAAUUCGACUUCGAGAUACCGACGAAUUUCCAUAUUUCAGACAGCCCUAAAUCCAAAAUACACAGUUCUACAAUUAUGUCUGUCUGUCUA